UAUAUUUAUGUGUAUGAUUUAUAUGCUGAUUCCUUUUUUUUCUUCUUCUUUUUCUUCUUCUUUUUCUUCUUCUUUUUCUUCUUCUUCUUUUUCUUCUUCUUCUUUUUCUUCUUUUUUUUUGUGAUACAUUUUUGUUUUGUUGUUGAUCCUAUAUCUCAUUAUCUUGUUCAUUUUAAAAAAAAACGUUAAUACUGUAAAUAUGUUAUAAAGUUAAAAAAUUCCAAAAGUAUACAUUCCCAUAUAAAACACAUCCCAUAAAAAAAAAAAAAAUAUAUUACACACACAUAUAUAUAUAUAUAUAUAUA
rnacentral:sRNA from 1 species